GCGAGUAAUUUUCACUUUUCACUGAUCCAAAGGAGGUCACGUGGGAUUGCUUGAAAAUGGCGAAACGAAACUUGUGAAUCGUGCAUUUGCUCUUCUUGGUAGCUGCCAGAAAAUCGAAUCAAGCUUAUGGGACACUGGAUUACAGGUUGCUGCCACUACUCCAUGUGCCCGCAAUUGUCUUGCGUGUAUGAUUACACUAACGGCGUCGCCCACCACGGCGGAAGUGUUUUGCGUACACGCGUUUCAGCAUGAAGCCUGCAGGUGGACGUAAAUUGUAGAAGGCAGCUAGUGGGGGAGAAGAUCAUGGUCAUAGGUCAUGUGACUCCUGGAGCUCCCAGUGGGCUCCCUUGUGGAGUACUUUUCAGAACACACACAUACAGUUUGCUCACAGAACCAACGAGUAGGAUGUUGCUUGAAUACUGAGAGAAAAUGGCGUAACACAUACAAAUAUCGUGUGACACAUAUGACAAUAAAAACAUUUUUCACGAGGGAUGCAUGAAACACUGUCGCAAUAUUGUGUGCAUGAACCAUUGUGUGUGACACAAGCCGUGGGGGCACACCGCCUCGGACACAUUUUGGGAAGCAUAAAACACAGUAUAUACAGAGCUAGUAUGGUGGAUGCUUCUUUUUUCUUUUUGGCCGUUAUGAGACAUCUUCGGCCGUAAUGAGACUACCUUCGGCCGUAUUGAGACUUUGGCCGUAACGAGACACUUGGGGAUUAAAGGAUUUUCGGCCGUAAUGAGACUUUCGGCCGUAAUGAGACUUCGGCCGUAAUGAGACUCGGGCCGUAA